rnacentral:misc_RNA from 1 species
AAAUAAAAAAAUAAAAAAUAAAAUGUUAGGAAAUAAUUUCCAAUUGUAAUGUCACUAAACCAGGAGUCCGGAACUACAAUCAAAUGGUGAUGAUAAAGAUACAGAGGCUCAAACAAGAUGAAGUUAUCUACCAAUUCAAGUAUCAUGAAGCAUCAAACAACAGAGUAAUCUAUGGCAGACAUGUCCACUGGUCGAAAAAUUUUAAAACUUCGGAUUCUUUUGGUCUUCAAAAUGUGGUUGCAUUUUCAACCAAAAAUAAAAAAUAAACAAAUAAAGGGAAAAAAAGCACAAGUCAGCUUGAACAAGUUCCCUGAAGGAAACAAUUUCAUUCAAUUACAAUUCAAUCAAAUUAAUAUCAAAAACAUAUGUUAUGGGUACUUAAAAUACUUAACUGCCAUGAGAUGCUGGGGCUCCCUCGAAGUUCUUUGAAGCUCAUUCUGUCAUUAGGUAGAUAUCAAAAUUUUCUAACCGUGUUGUCAGCCAAAAUUGUCACCUCAACCAAUGUUAUUGAAAGGUCCCACAAGUAA